rnacentral:lncRNA from 1 species
GGUUAAAUAAAGAGCUAAUGGUUGCAAAAGCUUACCUUAUAGAAAAAAAAGGAGUAAAGCAAGCUUUUAUAGUCCUCAAAGGAACAAGAAUUAAGAGACAAGUGGUUUAAACCUUAAAAGCUUGAACCCUGCAUCUGGAAAUUAUGAAGAAGAAGACACGGAUGAAUAAUUUGAAACUACGCUUUGCAGUCUUCUCAUACCCUCUCCAUUAUCAAGAAAGGCAAAGCAACCAGAACAAGCCCCAACAAUUGGAAGUAAGAGAGCUGAUAAUCAAAUAUAACCCACCAAAACCAAGCACAACCUCCAAACUCAAACUUCUAUAAAUAGAAUUGCCACAGGAAGUGGUGAACUCAACCAAUUGACCCUCCCAAUUAAUCACUGGUAAAGGAACCACCAAAAGAAUUUCCUUUUCUUUCUUUGGAAAAAGAGAAAGACACUGAAAAACACACGCAGUUCAUAGAUUUCAAAACAUGAUUCAGACAAAAGCAACUAUAAACCAGAACAAAGAAUCAACCAGAUGAAACUUGGGUCAAAGAUGCAACAAAGCAGAAAGCAUAGAAAUUGAGAAAGAGGGGGCGAAUUUUGUCUAGCAAAGAGAAAAUUGUUUUUUGUGUGGAGAAAAAGAAAAUUGUGGAGGACCUUUGCUUUGCUCUUGGAGUUUUUCUACCUACACAAUUUCCUCAAUC